rnacentral:rRNA from 1 species
GACGAACGCUGGCGGCGUGCCUAAUACAUGCAAGUAGAACGCUGAAGGCGGAGCUUGCUUCUCUGGAUGAGUUGCGAACGGGUGAGUAACGCGUAGGUAACCUGCCUGGUAGCGGGGGAUAACUAUUGGAAACGAUAGCUAAUACCGCAUAAGAGUAGAUGUCGCAUGACAUUUGCUUAAAAGGUGCAAUUGCAUCACUACCAGAUGCACCUGCGUUGUAUUAGCUAGUUGGUGUGGUAACGGCUCACCAAGGCAACGAUACAUAGCCGACCUGAGAGGGUGAUCAGCCACACUGGGACGGAGACACGGCCCAGAGUGCUAGAGGAGGGAGCAGGAGGGAAUCGUGGGGAAGGGACGGAAGUCAGACCGAGAAAGGCGGCGGGAGGGAAGAAGGUUGUCGGAUCGUAAAGGUCUGUUGUAAGAGAAGAAAGAGUGUGAGAGUGGAAAGUUCAGAGUGUGACGGUAACUUACCAGAAAGGGACGGCUAACUACGUG